GGAGUCUGAGGUUUUCAGGCCAGAGUGAAUAGUUUGGCAGUCAUUCAAGUCAUCUUCAAGAUCACCAAAGAUCUCAUUAACUCAUGAAAGGGCAGGAAAAAAACAGUGUUCAAAAGAGUUUGCCUGCAAAGAACAUCGUUGUCCCACUCUGCCAAGCCUCUGAGGAUAUAGGACUCGCUGUGUAAAUACAUCUCCAUCUGUCACCUCCAAUCACAUUCAUCUAUAAAUGUCUUCUGCACUCUUUUUUUCUUUCUCUCUCUUAACUAUUUCCAGCAGAUAAAGAUGUAACCCCUUUCAGUAAAUUGAAUAAUUCUGAAAUGUCAGAGUGCUUCAAAUCAGCCUGGCUAUUGUAUUGAUUUUCUGAAAUAAAAACCAAAUUUCCAGAGCGUA